GAAAGAAAUCAUGUGAGCUUGAGAAGGAAUCAGAUUCUGCAUAUAUUUCCAAGUUAACAUGAACAAGAUUUUCUGAAAGACUGCUAUGGAGUCUGAGAAAAAAGUGUCAAAGGUAGUGCCAAAAUUGUCACUUAAAGAACUGCAGGAAUGGAGUUGGCAUUUACAGAAUUUAGAAGAGAAGCAGGUUUAGUGAUAAAGACCAGAAGCACAGAGCUAAGCAUAUUAAAUAUUGAGGACAUGAGGAGGAAAGAACUGACAGAGGAGAUGAAGAAAGGUGAUCAGGAAGAGCCAUCAAAGUGUUAUCCUGGAAUUCAAGUGAAGACAGUGUUUCAAAGUGGAAAUGAACAGUGUCCUGUAACCCUCAGGUGAGACUAGAGUCAGAAUGCAGGCUUUUCUCAUUUGAAAUCUAUUGAAUAAACAUCAGUAAAAGAAGCAAUCCAAGUUCUCAUGCCAAAUAUGUAUAUGUCCAAGACCAGGAUUUCUUCAUGUCUGAAUGUGGAUAUGGAGCCUAGAGUACUAGCAAGGUAAGUCCAGGUCCUUACCUCCACCUAAAAGUUCUGCCACCAAGGGACAUCUGCUCAUUAUCUUCUGUCCACACAUCAAAUGACUUCAAUGUGACCCCUGGAUGUUCUCCAAAGAGCUGAAAGGAAAUAAAUA
rnacentral:lncRNA from 1 species